rnacentral:pre_miRNA from 1 species
AAUAAACAAAUUUCUGAGUUUUUGGAUGGAAUUUUUGACUCUUCGUCUUAUUUAAAAAAUUUUAUAAUUAAUAUUUUUAUUGUUACUGGAUGAUAAAAUAUAAAUAGUACUUUACAUACAACUAAUUUUUUUUAAUUUUUGAAUACAUUUUUCAAAUAAGACGGAUAGUCAAACGCUCAAACUACAAAACCCAG